rnacentral:lncRNA from 1 species
GGGAUGAAUGAUGGAUGUUAAACUAGAAAAAAAAAACACUUCAUGAUGAACACUACGCAACGAUGAACAACAGCAUUUAAAUAAAUAUAUUACAUAAAAAGAUGCAGGGCAUUAUACAACGAUUCGUAGUGAAUCAGUGAAUCAUUUUAAAAUGGUCCAUUUACAUGAAUGUGCAAACAAACCAAUUCACUAAAAUGAUUUGGAACACUACAUAGUUGAGCAAAAAACACUCUUCUUCUACUCACUGGGAAAAGGUAGCUUGUUACUGGAAAAAGCUAUACUAUUAUGAAAGCAGCUGAGCUACUGUCACAUUACUGAAAAUUGUAAUCCAUUGUUCCAUUGUUCUGACACAAAGCUGUUCCUUUACAUCACUUAAAAGGCAUUAUUUGUUUCUCUUCAAAUUGUGCACACAUUUCUUUAUUGUAACCCCUCAUGUCUGCUCAAUGUUUUUAGACGAGUAACAGUGGUCAGUGUGUUGGUGCACCAGGGAUGCCCGGAUUCCCAGGGACCGCAGGGGUCAAAGGAGAGCCGGGUCCUAGAGGUGAGCGAGGACCUCCUGGUCUUCCUGGAACCCCAGGCAAUAUUGGUUUCCCUGGUCCUCAAGGGCCUCCUGGACUGCCUGGUCAACAAGGUCAGAGAGGGACAGACGGACUUCCAGGACAGAAAGGUGAACAGGUGAGUAUCUUAAGAAUAUAUACUAAAAAGGAGCCCAUGGACAGUUUGCUGUAUUAUUGAGUUACUUUUGUUAUUUUCACAAAGGCUCCACCAGGAAAUCCUGGCUAUCCUGGAACCAUGGGACCGCCUGGCCUCCCUGUAAGUGGUAUCAACAAUUGACCAUUGACAACUGACCAGAUGCAGAGACAUCAUAUAUUAAUGUUUAGACAUGUUGUAUAACUGCUAAUUGUUUGAUUGGUGGGUUAAAGUCAUAAUGCGUUUUUCCUAGGGCCUUAAAGGAGAGCGUGGCAGUCCAGGAACUGCAGGGC